rnacentral:rRNA from 1 species
UACGUAGGGUGCGAGCGUUAAUCGGAAUGACUGGGCGUAAAGGGUGCGCAGGCGGUUGGUCAAGACGGAUGUGAAAGCCCCCGGGCUUAACCUGGGAGGGUCAUUCGUGACUGACGAACUAGAAUAUGGCAGAGGGAGGCGGAAUUCCACAUGUAGCAGUGAAAUGCGUAGAGAUGUGGAGGAACACCGAUGGCGAAGGCAGCCUUCUGGGCUAAUAUUGACGACUGAGGC